AGAUAAAAAGACAAAACUCAAGAAACAAGGGAAAGGAAUUGCUGGAUUUUUUAUGGUUUUCCUUUAUCUUUUUCUUUCCUUCAUUUUAUCUUUCCUUCCAUCUUUCCCAAUAAAUUUUAUGAAUGCGUUUCAAUUUCAGCAGUUGCCCGAUUUAAAGUGCUUAUUUCCCCCCGUUAAAGUGACUGCGCCAAUGAAAAGCAGGAGCAAAUUUUGAUGACCAUAAGUUUCCAAAAUUCAGCUUGUUUGCAAUGAAAAAAAAAAGAAGAUG
rnacentral:ribozyme from 12 species